rnacentral:lncRNA from 1 species
GGGCGAGAUCCGUUCACCAUUUACUUGUUUUGACAAAAACCGGGGUCAUCAACCGGUUCGCCGGUUUCCGGGUUUCGCCCGGUUGAACCGGGUUUCGGUCAUUUGACCCCGGUUUUUGAUUUUUCCGGUUUUGGAGCUCAAACCGGACCGCCUUGUCGCCGGGUCGCGGUCGAACCGGUCCGACCGGCCGGUCCGGUCCGGUUCUUAUAACAUUG